rnacentral:rRNA from 1 species
CCCGGGGCUCAACCCCGGAAUUGCUUUGGAUACUGCCUGGCUUGAGUGUGCGAGAGGAAAACGGAAUUCCAGGUGUAGCGGUGAAAUGCGUAGAUAUCUGGAGGAACACCGGUGGCGAAAGCGGCUUUCUGGCGCAUAACUGACGCUGAGGCUCGAAAGCGUGGGGAGCGAACGGGAUUAGAUACCCCGGUAGUGCACGCCGUAAACGUUGUGCACUAGGUGUGGGAGGUAUCGACCCCUUCCGUGCCGGAGCUAACGCAUUAAGUGCACCGCCUGGGGAGUACGGUCGCAAGACUGAAACUCAAAGGAAUUGACGGGGGCCCGCACAAGCGGUGGAGCAUGUGGUUUAAUUCGAGGCAACGCGAAGAACCUUACCCAGGCUUGACAUCCCGAGACCGCCAUGGAAACAUGGUUUCCCCUUCGGGGGCUCGGUGACAGGUGUUGCAUGGCUGUUGUCAGCUCGUGUCGUGAGAUGUUGGGUUAAAUCCCGCAACGAGCGCAACCCCUGUCCCUAGUUUCCAGCGGUUCGGCCGGGCACUCUAGGGAGACUGCCGGUGAUAAACCGGAGGAAGGUGGGGACGACGUCAAGUCAUCACGGCCCUUAUGCCUGGGGCGACACACGUGCUAC